UGGGGAAUUUUGGACAAUGGGCGAAAGCCUGAUCCAGCAAUGCCGCGUGUGUGAAGAAGGCCUUCGGGUUGUAAAGCACUUUUGUCCGGAAAGAAAUCCUUGGCUCUAAUACAGUCGGGGGAUGACGGUACCGGAAGAAUAAGCACCGGCUAACUACGUGCCAGCAGCCGCGGUAAUACGUAGGGUGCAAGCGUUAAUCGGAAUUACUGGGCGUAAAGCGUGCGCAGGCGGUUUGCUAAGACCGAUGUGAAAUCCCCGGGCUCAACCUGGGAACUGCAUUGGUGACUGGCAGGCUAGAGUAUGGCAGAGGGGGGUAGAAUUCCACGUGUAGCAGUGAAAUGCGUAGAGAUGUGGAGGAAUACCGAUGGCGAAGGCAGCCCCCUGGGCCAAUACUGACGCUCAUGCACGAAAGCGUGGGGAGCAAACAGGAUUAGAUACCCCUGGUAGUCCACGCCCUAAACGAUGUCAACUAGUUGUUGGGGAUUCAUUUCCUUAGUAACGUAGCUAACGCGUGAAGUUGACCGCCUGGGGAGUACGGUCGCAAGAUUAAAACUCAAAUGAAUUGACGGGGUCAUAGCUGUUU
rnacentral:rRNA from 1 species